rnacentral:lncRNA from 1 species
AAUUCAUUAGGAGGAGAUAGGAGAGACAAGGAAGAAAUGAAGUAAACAUACAUACAUGUCUAUAUAUAAGCAGCAGAAGCAAGUAAUAUAAAUACAUCCGCUUUCUUCCUCUACAACACUAACUACAUCAACAUCAAUCAUAGUACACAAGGAGCAGCAGCAGCAAGCCGAUAAAGAAAGCUCAAGAUUUGUGUCUUUUGCAAGUUUUAGCACACUAGUACAUGCGUUAAAAUGGAAGCACCGCUGCUGGGUUGCAACAGCCAACAAAAUAAAAAAAAUCUAUACACACGCACAAAAUUAAGCAAUGGUUCCGUGAGUGUUGUAGACAAAAAGAAAAAUUCAUCCAAUGGUCCCCAGUGCCGGCGCAGUCCAAUGCGCGGCGCCGACGGCUGCAUACGAAGAGAUCGAAGCAGUGAGCGAGGGGAUGGGGCCGCAGUCCAAAUCUGCAUGAAAAAGAGACAUGCUGUAUAAUGGUUGUGGAGCAACAAUAAUGAUGAAAAUAUAUUGCUUAAGUGCAUGAAGGACCAGUAAUCAAUAACAUAAUUGUGAUGAAAUUAAAUAAAAAUGGCCUUUGAAAUACUAUGCAAAUGAUACUGAUCACAUGCACACCAAAUGGCCUUUUUUUGCAGGAAAAAAGAAAAGGCACUCAAGUAGGCAGUUUGAAAGCAUUAAACACGCGAUGUCCUCUCGAAGCUUCAAUGGAGCUUGCUAACCUCCAUCUAUGUUUACAAUUAUUAUAUCAGAAUCACAUCAGUACAUGGUGCAGACUACAGAUGAACAUCGUCUGACAUUAUGUUCAUAGAUAAGUUACUCAUUAGAUUCAUCUCAUCCACCAAUAUGAUAAAAGUGAAAAACGUUUCACAUUAUGAGAUUUAGUUGUUUUUACCAACCAUAUGAUGAUGCCACUUAUGCCCCUAGUGCUGCAAGGUUAAGUAUUGCAACUGUGCACUGCCUUGAUUACAUAUUUUGUAACCACAGCCCCCAAAAAAUGUAAGUCAUUGACUCACGAUCAAGCAUACUAAAUGGUUUUUUCAAACACAUCCUGGCUUUCCCCAAACUGAACUUACUAGUUAAAGAAAAGCUAUCAGCACAAGAUUCUGACAGAAAAUGGCCACUCCAAGCCAUCCAAUACACCAUGGGUACAUAAUGAUUCCCACCGAGAUUCAGUUUCAGUUGAGCCUAAAAUAGUCUGACAGUCCAAGCGCACACGUUUGGCUUGGGGCAUAUCUAUACUCCAGAUAACAAAUAGUAUGACUUCUUAUAAAUAAUAACCAAUAGUACUGCCCCCAGAUGAGCUGCUCAUACAUAACGAUAAAUCAACUAACCGCUACGUAUAGAUGAUGAUAGGCCAUAUGAUGUCUUAGUAUUUCCCAAAAUAAUUGAGCUCGGGUUCAACAUGGGAUCAGCAUAUAUAUACCAAGACUUGGUGCGAGAAUAUGGCAUACAAGCGAAACCACGCCGUCUGAUCUCACUAAUGAUUCCCAAAUCCUAAAAAUAGCUGUCACCCAUGAACCAGCAAGUCAACGUAGCACCUAAGAUUCCAGUAUCUGGACUAGUAGCACAAUCUGCAAGAGCCAACUAUAUCAAGAGACAUACUACCGAGUACUGACAUACCACCAACUUGCUACGAAAGAAAUAAUACAUCUAAAAAGUUCUACCAAAAGAGAACCACCAAAAUCCAGUUCUAGUCAGAUUACGCAAGUAUUGACAUUUCACAAACGGCGUCGCUCUGGUGCUUGACGACUCUAGACAGCGCGGGGGUGCCAUGGUGGUGGUGGUGGUGGCGUCCUCUCCGGCGACCGGCGACCGGUGGUGGUGGCGGGCCGGGGUGGGAGCACCGGGAGAACUCGACAGAUCCGACCUGGAAACCCAAAAGAGCAAGUAAAUUCAGCGCGUGAAUCGAAGCAGAAGAGCCUCCCUGCGCGAAACCGCAAGGCAGGGGUAGAAUUAAGCGAGGAGGGGAGGGAGGCGGGGCUUGGCCGUCCUGCUCGAUGUGGCCCUGCGGGAAGUAGAAGACGAGGUCCCCGACUCGCGGGACGGUGACGAGCGGGCCGGCGCAGGCGUGCCAGAGCUCGUCGUAGAGCGGAUCCCCUGCUCGGAAAACCAGCGCCGGUAAACGUCAGCGACCAACGAGGAGGAGGAUUGCGGCCGCGCUGGCCAGAUCCGGAAGGCUGCGUACCUGCGGAGGGGCCUGCGGCGGCGCCAUGGCGGCGGG